rnacentral:rRNA from 1 species
AUUGAACGCUAGCUACAGGCUUAACACAUGCAAGUCGAGGGGUAACGAGAGGAAAGCUUGCUUUCCUUGUCGACGACCGGCGCACGGGUGAGUAAUGCGUAUCCAACCUGCCCCCAACUAAGGAAUAACCUUGCGAAAGUAAGACUAAUACCUUAUAAUUUCCUCAGAUGUCAUCUGACGAGGAAUAAAGAUUUAUCGGUUGUGGAUGGGGAUGCGUCUGAUUAGCUUGUUGGCGGGGUAACGGCCCACCAAGGCAACGAUCAGUAGGGGUUCUGAGAGGAAGGUCCCCCACAUUGGAACUGAGACACGGUCCAAACUCCUACGGGAGGCAGCAGUGAGGAAUAUUGGUCAAUGGGCGGAAGCCUGAACCAGCCAAGUAGCGUGCAGGAUGACGGCCCUAUGGGUUGUAAACUGCUUUUAUACAGGAAUAAAGUUAGCCACGUGUGGUUAUUUGUAGGUACUGUAUGAAUAAGGACCGGCUAAUUCCGUGCCAGCCGCCGCGGUAA